GACGAACGCUGGCGGCGUGCUUAACACAUGCAAGUCGAACGGAAAGGCCCUGCUUUUGUGGGGUGCUCGAGUGGCGAACGGGUGAGUAACACGUGAGAAACCUGCCCUUGACUUUGGGAUAACUUCAGGAAACUGGGGCUAAUACCGGAUAGGAGCUCCUGCUGCAUGGUGGGGGUUGGAAAGUUUCGGCGGUUGGGGAUGGACUCGCGGCUUAUCAGCUUGUUGGUGGGGUAGUGGCUUACCAAGGCUUUGACGGGUAGCCGGCCUGAGAGGGUGACCGGCCACAUUGGGACUGAGAUACGGCCCAGACUCCUACGGGAGGCAGCAGUGGGGAAUAUUGCACAAUGGGCGGAAGCCUGAUGCAGCAACGCCGCGUGCGGGAUGACGGCCUUCUGGCUGUAAACCGCUUUCGCCUGUGACGAAGCGUGAGUGACGGUAAUGGGUAAAGAAGCACCGGCUAACUACGUG
rnacentral:rRNA from 1 species